rnacentral:rRNA from 1 species
GGCCUUCGGGUUGUAAAGGUACUUUCAGUCAGUGAGGAAGGUGGGUAUGGUUAAUAGCAUACUCAUUUGACGUUAGCUGCAGAAGAAGCACCGGCUAACUCCGUGCCAGCAGCCGCGGUAAUACGGAGGGUGCGAGCGUUAAUCGGAAUUACUGGGCGUAAAAGCGCAUGCAGGUGGUUUGUUAAGUCAGAUGUGAAAGCCCGGGGCUCAACCUCGGAAUUGCAUUUUGAAAACUGGCAAACUAGAGUACUGUAGAGGGGGUAGAAUUUCAGGUGUAGCGGUGAAAUGCGUAGAGAUCUGAAGGAAUACCGGUGGCGAAGGCGGCCCCCUGGACAGAUACUGACACUCAGAUGCGAAAGACGUGGGGAGCAAACAGGAUUAGAUACCCUGGUAG